rnacentral:rRNA from 1 species
AGCAGCCGCGGUAAUUCCAGCUCCAAUAGCGUAUAUUAAAGUUGUUGCAGUUAAAAAGCUCGUAGUUGAAUUUCGGGACCAAUUUGUUGGUCGUGCCUCGGUACGUACUGGUAUUAUUGGUUUCUCCCUUCUGAAGAACCUUGAUGUCAUUAAUUUGGUGUCUUGGGGAAUCAGGACUGUUACUUUGAAAAAUUAGAGUGUUUAAAGCAGGCAUACGCUUGAAUACAUUAGCAUGGAAUAAUGAAAUAGGACGUUUGAUUCUAUUUUGUUGGUUUCUAGGAUCGACGUAAUGAUUAAUAGGGAUAGUUGGGGGCAUUAGUAUUCAAUUGUCAGAGGUGAAAUUCUUGGAUUUAUUGAAGACUAACUACUGCGAAAGCAUUUGCCAAGGAUGUUUUCAUU